UACGGGGGGGGCAAGCGUUGUUCGGAAUUACUGGGCGUAAAGGGCUCGUAGGCGGCCAACUAAGUCAGACGUGAAAUCCCUCGGCUUAACCGGGGAACUGCAUCUGAUACUGGAUGGCUUGAGAUUGGGAGAGGGAUGCGGAAUUCCAGGUGUAGCGGUGAAAUGCGUAGAUAUCUGGAGGAACACCGGUGGCGAAGGCGGCAUCCUGGACCAACACCGACGUUCAGGCACGAAAGCGUGGGGAGCAAACAGG
rnacentral:rRNA from 1 species